ACAUCUUUGAAUGUGAAACCAAUGUGAAAUUGUUCACUACAGACGCUUGAAUAAUCCGCCCCUGCUACCAAAGCAGGGAGGAGAGAAGGCUGGGUGGGGUGGUUGGUUUGGUGCCCUCCCAUAGGGGUCCUGGCUGACCUUUUAGCCAAAUAUUGGCUGAAGGGCUCUUAAAAAGAGAACCAGGGCCCUUGCUUCUUUCUGCAUUCCCCUGGGUUGGUGGUUCCCACCGAUGGGAUCUGUCUGGGGAACAGGAGUGUCCCUGGGUUAGAUGGAGUGGGGUGGGUUGGAAACAGAGGGUUUAGAUUCUGCUUAAUGCAAAGCACCACUGCUCUGUCCUCUACUACCUGGUACUCUUCUAGGCUAAGUCUCACCUGAAUGGGACGGCUCCUCCCCAUAGUAGGUCACAGGCUCCGUUUUCCAGGGCUCGAAACAUUCUCUGUAGAACCAUUGAGGUUUGAAGUACUGGUGGAAGCAGGUUGGGGAUUGUAUCUGGGGCGGGGCCUUGGGCAGGGGCUCCAGGCAGUAUUUAAUAUCUCCUGGGGCUAUCUCCUGGCCUUCCAACUUCUGCAAAGCAACGUUGUGCUGCUACUCCCCCAUUGUGGGAAGGAAGCCACAUUCACCUCUUUGUUCAGAGGGCCAUUCUUGCCCUCGUUAAUGGGGCAGAGUACGGGAGGUCAGUGGGGGUCCAUCUCCCAAAGUGAGAGAGGUCAUCAAAAAUUCAGAAGGUGCUACCCUAGGAAGAUAACUAACUUCUCUGAGCCACAAUGUGUAAAAUCACUGGGCUAUUGAGAGGAUCUGAAAUAAGGUAUCUAGCACAGUGGCUGGCAUGUAGAUACUUCCCUUACAAUAUUGAGAACAUGUCUGCUGCAUCCAUGGCACAUAGCCCAGUCUUUGUUGACUCCACUCUUCCCUCCUUCUGACCUUACCUGAACCCCAGCCUCUCUGCUCUCUAGCUGUGUUUGUAGAGCCAGCAUCUCUUGCUGAGUGGAUUUGAGGGCUGUGCUGUUGGAAGAAGAGUAGUCAAGUGGGUGGAGUAUUCUGCCUGCAAGAGUAGAGGAAGGAGGAGUGAUUAGCCCAUUCCAAUGAUUUUUCUAGGUCUACCCGUUUUUUUUUUUUUUUUUACCCAUGGCAGCCUUCCAGUACUCAUUACCCCCACUAAUGGGACAGGUGGGGUGCUGGUGCUGGUAGACCCAAUUUGAGGCUGGAUCAGUAAAAACUGGGGAGAAGGUUCUCUGCAUUUAAGGGCAUAUGGCAUGUCAAAAGCAGCUAUUUUAAUGAACAUUGCAGAUCUUUUGUUUCUUUUUGCCUUGAAAAUAGUGCCGAGAGGGGCGGCUUACCGGGAAGAUGGUCAGUGGUGGACUCACAGUCAGACGGUCCGGUCUCCAGGUGGCGGCUUACCGGGAAGAUGGUCAGUGGUGGACUCACAGUCAGACGGUCCGGUCUCCAGGUGGCGGCUUACCGGGAAGAUGGUCAGUGGUGGACUCACAGUCAGACGGUCCGGUCUCCGGGUGGCGGCUUACCGUGAAGAUGGUCAGUGGUGGACUCACAGUCAGACGGUCCGGUCUCUGGGUGGCGGCUUACCGGGAAGAUGGUCAGUGGUGGACUCACAGUCAGACGGUCCGGUCUCCGGGUGGCGGCUUACCGGGAAGAUGGUCAGUGGUGGACUCACAGUCAGACGGUCCGGUCUCCGGGUGGCGGCUUACCGGGAAGAUGGUCAGUGGUGGACUCACAGUCAGACGGUCCGGUCUCCGGGUGGCGGCUUACCGGGAAGAUGGUCAGUGGUGGACUCACAGUCAGACGGUCUGGUCUCCGGGUGGCGGCUUACCGUGAAGAUGGUCAGUGGUGGGCUCACAGUCAGACGGUCCGGUCUCCAGGUGGCGGCUUACCGUGAAGAUGGUCAGUGGUGGGCUCACAGUGAGACGGUCCGGUCUCCGGGUGGCGGCUUACCGUGAAGAUGGUCAGUGGUGGACUCACAGUCAGACGGUCCGGUCUCCGGGUGGCGGCUUACCGGGAAGAUGGUCAGUGGUGGACUCACAGUCAGACGGUCCGGUCUCCGGGUGGCGGCUUACCGGGAAGAUGGUCAGUGGUGGACUCACAGUCAGACGGUCCGGUCUCCGGGUGGCGGCUUACCGUGAAGAUGGUCAGUGGUGGGCUCACAGUCAGACGGUCCGGUUUCCGGGUGGGAGCGUCUCCUACCCCAGCGCUCGGUGCGGCUGCAGUGGUGCCUGUGUCUCCCAAGGGGCCAAGGAAGGAGGAGUCUGUGGGAGCACUAGGCGGUUAGAGUCUGGUUUUCUCCCAAAGCUGCGUGGAUACACCACAUGAGACCUGGUGGAAGCCCCUCUAGUUCCUUUGGGAGAGGGAGGAAGGGUGACCCUCUGAGCCGGUGACAUUGUGGUUGGUCACAGGCAGAGAGCUCCAGACUCAGCAUUUGAGGUUUAGGGCAAGGAGGUGUGACUUGAGAAAGAAUGGGAUGCUGCUAGUUUAGAAGCAGCUCUUUGGCUGGUGAGGAGCCCUGGUGGUGUAGUGGUUAAGACCUCAGCUGUUAACCAAAAGGUGGGCAGUUCGAAUCCACCAGCUGCUCUUUGGAAACCCUAUGGGGCAGUUCUACUCUGUCCUAAGGGGUCUGUAUGAGUCGUUAUCCAAGACAGCAGCAGCUUUUUGGCUGGUAAAGACAAUGGACUUUUUGACUGACAGGUGUAAAGUGGAGGAGGAGAUGUGUGGGUGUCCUGCAAGAUGGAGAAAGUGGGCUGCCAGAGGGCCAUUUUACUGACGGUCGGUGUCAAGAGGCUGGGGUUGUAGUGAGGAGUGGAUAAAUAUGCCAGUUUGAGCCCAGGUAAUGAGAACUCUAAGGGGAAGCCUGCCUUGGAGCUACUGAGAUCUGCCCAUGUUCUGAGCAAGAGUAGGACUCAGGGCAGGAAGCAUUCUGUGUCUUUCUCUGUCUGCAAACCCUGCGCUAGAGGGAAGAAGCAGAGAGCAGGAGUUUUGGGAGCAGGGAGGGGAUGAGAAGGGGGAUGCCAGGUAGUGGGGUGACUAGAGGACCCUCACACACAGUCACAGAGCUCACAGAGGUGGCUGAAGGGGGGUGCCAUUUUGGGCCUCUGGCUUCCUGGUCAGGCUGGCAAUAGUCCUCUGCUCAGCCCUGUCCUCUGUCCCCCCGCUCGUGAGGCAGCCCCUGGGCUUUGGCAGAUGGGCAUUGGUUCUGAGGUUUGGCAUCUUAGGGUGCUGCGGUCCUCCCAUUUUGAAUGUGAAAUGCACUGCAGUGGCUUUGGGAGAGAAAGUGGAGACAGUUAUGUCCCUAACAACAGAGACUGCUGUGAUGGCAGCUAAGGGAGGGAGUGAUUAUAGAAGUGCUCAGGCUUCAAGAUUCUUGGGAUUUGAUCCCUGCGCCAGCUGCAAGCUCAACUAUAGAGCUCCGUUGUGUGUGGUAUAUGUGUGUUUGUGUGUGUCCAUCCUCUGGCCCUUCAGGGGAUAUCUGUCUUUUCCUACCCUCAUCUCCACUCUCCACCCACCACAGAUGCAUGCCUGCGUGCACGCCCGCGUGCACACACACACACCAAGUGUUGUCCUGAGACACAAGGUUGAGCCGCAUCUUGUCAGCUGUAUAGAUUUGCCAGUAGCUGACACUCUCUCAGAACCUGGAAUCACAAAAUAGGAACCUCAGAGUUGGAAGAGACCUUAAAGGUCUUCUAUUCACCCCACUUUCCCCACACGAACUAAUUUUAAAGUAUUUUCCAUCAGUUUACUAUUUCAACUGCUGUCCCCUUUGGGCCCCAUGGAAAUGCAGUGCUGAUUAUAUCAAUCAUAGAUUCAAAGUCGGAAAGGGUCUUAAAUGAGAUCUAAUCCUCAUAUCCACUCCAGUGCUGGCAUCUCCUGGCAAAUCCCAUUUCUGGAAGCACUGCUCCCACCUAUGUGUGAACACUUCUGCCCCGUCACUGCCUCCUGAGGUGCAUGUAUUCCACUUCUGAGCAACUCUAGCUAUUUUCAGUUGUGCUUCCCUGUGGCUUCGCAAUUUGUCUGGUUUUCCAUCUUGAGGUUUUCAAAAACAGAUUUACCCCUCUUCUACCUGAUAAUAUUUUAGAUGUGUUGGCAUGAAUUUUGCUUUCUAUGUCUUCUUACCUUCUUCCCUUCUUGGGGAAGGUAAUAGGAGAGUUUUGUAUUUAAGCUUAUACAAGAAAGGAAGCAGACCAUCUUUUAAGUAAUAAAAGGUGGGAAAUUAAUCUUCAUAUGGAGAGAGUUUAAUUGUGCUAUAGACACUUUACAUAGAGGGCGUCUUCCCUCCCCUCCACCCCCAGUCCAGCAGCAGAGCCAAGCAUGACAACCCAUGCCAGAGACUGACACAAGACAAAGAGGUGGGAGGGAAAGGAUGAAGAACACUAGUGGGGAGGGAGGUGGCCAGGGAAGCGGAUCUAUUAGUUAACCUCAGAAGGUGAUCUCAAGGUGUGUCCCCAGAGUCAUAAAUAGAGCUCAGGGACAAACUGAACAGACUAGAAGAACUAUUCCUGAAUUGCUACCAUCAGGCACGCUCUGUGUGGGGUUGGAAGCAGAGACUGUUGGAACAAUCGUUGUUUCUGCUUCAAUGGCUGACAGUAAGACAUUUUUUCCCUCUUGAUUGUGGCACUUCUUUCUGUGAUCAGGAAGUAAUGUCACAGCUAUGUUGGCAGUAGAAGAAAGCUGUUGGGUCCAUCUGACUCUUUUUUCAGUUCCUUCACCAUUCUUUUUAUGCAUGAUUUUGAGACCUGCACUAUCUUCUCUGAACUCACUCCAGUUUGUGGUGGUCCUUUUUAAAGUACAGCAACUGAUUUGGACCGUAAUCAGAGUACAAUGGAUCUAUCACUCCCUCAGUCUUGAUAUUAAAUUUCAAUCAAUGCGUUUAAGACUGAAUUAGCUUUUCCCAUUGUACUUGCUGUUGCCGGAAGUCCCCAUGUCACCUUUACACACACUGUGAGCCCGUGUCACCCCUCAUCUCUUACUUGUGCAGUUGGUGUUUUGAACCCAGUAUUUUUUUUAUAGUUAUAGAGAAAAAGAGGAAGACCCUGAGCGAGGUGGAUUGACACAGUGGCUGCAACAAUGGGCUCAAACAUAACAAUGAUUGUAAGGAUGGCGCAGGAAUGGGUGGUGUUUUGUUCUGUUGUGCAUAGGGUCACUGUGAGUUGGCACCGACCCAAUGGCACGUAACAACAGCAAUAAUACAGUUACAGCCUAGAAAACCCUAUGGGGCAGUUCCACUCUGUGACAGGAGUCGCUAUAAGUUGAAAAUUGACCUGAUGUCACCCAGCAACAGCAAGAGCAAUAGUUACUUUUAGCCUUUAGAAAACCCACUUUCUUGUUCUUCUACCAUUUCUUAAAUGAAAGGUGGUGGGAUGGUGGGCCUUGUCCUGGUUUCCUUCGUGCAGGAGAAGAGGAGGCUGGAAUGGGGGCUAUUUGGGCCCCGUGUCAGUUAUCUAGUGCUGCUAAAAAAGAAAUACCACAAGUGGAUGGCUUUAACAAAAAGAAAUUUUUUUCUCUCACAGUCUAGACGGCUAGAAGUUCAAAUUCAGGGUGCUAAUUCUAGGCGAAGUCCUUUCCCUUGUUCGUUCUGGGGAAAGGUCCUUGUCAUCAAUCUUCCUCUGGUCUAGGAGCUUCUCAGUUCAGGAACCCCAGCACAGCUUUCUUGGUGGUAUGAGGUCCCCUUGCCUCUCUGCUGUCUUCUUUUUUAUAUCUCAAAAGAGAUUGAUUUAAGAUACAACCUAAUCUUGUAGAUUGAGUCCUACCUCACUAACAUAACUGCCUCUAAUCCUGCCUCAUUAACAUCAUAGAGGUAGGAUUUCCAACACAUAGAAAAAUCACGUGGAAUCCCAAAAUGGUGGAUAACCACACAAUACUGGGAAUUAUGGCCUAGCCAAAUUGAUACUCAUUUUUGGGAGACACAAUUCAAUCCAUAACAGGCCAUUCUUUCGCCUGAAUCAGAUUAGCUUGGUCUCAUGCUGGAGAGAAUUUAGCUUUCGAGUCACAGUUUGGAAGGUGUUUUGGUGUGGAUUAAUAAGAAAGUAUUGACAAAGACAAAGCUACUGCUCAAGUAACAACCUGAGGUGUUGACAGAUCCUCAGGGUAUGUGGCAGGGUCUAGAAGGGCUCUCUCUGCCAAGUUCUACUUACGAACUCAGAAUUGAAACUCCUGCUGCUAUUGCCAGUGGAGGAUCUGCUUGCCAAUCCAGCCUUUCUGUGAGUUUGCUUAGCACUUUGUACGCAACACUUACCACAUUACAUUGUGGGCUGUGAGGACCUGUGGCCAGGAACUGUCUCUUACUCAUUUUCAAAUUCCCAGCUCCUGGCCCAAGGCCUGGCACUCCAGACCUAAUAGCUACCAUUUACUACUGCUACUGUGGGCCUGGGACUCUCCAUACACUAAUCUCAUAAGAACCACAAUGUGGAUGCUAAUUUCUAUCUUGUAGAUGGGAAAACUGGGGCUAAAGACCCCAGCGCUGCCAAAGCCUACCGAUGCUCUUUCUACAAAUGAAUGAAUGAAUGAGUCUUGGAGUGGCUACUCUGGGCGAGAGUGGGCUCAAUGCCUUCAGAAUUACCCCCCUUCCCCCUCCCGCCACAGCUCUUUAGCUGAGGUCUCUAAUCCCCUGGGCUAAUUGAUUGUCAUGUCUGCAACAAUUAGAUGAAUGCUUAAUUAGCACAUGGAACUAACUCUCCAGUCAGAUGUUUAUGACUGCAGUGGCUCUGCCAGCCAACUCAGGCCCACCACGGGGAGUCUGUGGCUUUUUGGGAACACCAUGGACGAAGCAUGAUUAUCCCGGUAUUGACAGGGAAGAUUGAGGACAGGAGAGUCCUGCUGGCUCAUGGAGGAAGGAAAUUCAGGAUGAAGCCCUUGUCUUCAGGAUGCAGCCCAGUCUCCUCAGCAUUCUGGCAAGGCCUCUCAUGACCAGGGUGAUCAGCCCCUUCCCUGCACUAUCUGAACUUCUCACUUCCCCUGGUCAAAUGGUUUCAGGCCUCCGUGCUUUUCCCAAGCUGAUGUUUCAGCCCUCUUCUUCCUCCCACUGGCAAAACCUAAGUCAUCCUUCAGGGCGCGGUACAAAUGUCAUUUCCUUUGUGGAUGCUUCCCUGCUCCCUCUCUACCAGCAGAAUUAAAUCCUUCCUCUUUGGCUCUGUCUCGCAAUACUUGUACACACCUGAGUUCUAGCGUAACUCUCUGUACACUACAGUGAACUGUGAUGUGUUUUUCUCCCCCCGCCACACUUAUUGCUUAGGAAGGGCAGAGACCAUAGUCUCCAGCAUGCAGCGUGAAGCCGGGUCUGUAGAGGACGCUCAGUAAACACUGAAUGCAUCUAAAUGUUAGGUCAAGGUUCCGUUGCGGGUAAGAACUAAGUGAGUGUGAAUUUCCAGAAUUCAGUAUCUAUUUUACAAACGAUGUGCAAGUGUAAACAGGGCACUUUUGAAAGCUCAAGAAUUUUGUGAUCCUUAAUUUUCCUUUUCAAUAUAACCCUGUCCUGACUGGGGAAAAGGAGAAUAAAAUCCCAGUUUGGCCCCAGCCAUGUGCCUGGGAAGAAUCUUGGCAUUAGGCUGAAGGGAAAGUGGUGGGAGGAGAUAUGGGACUGAGGCCCAAGGGUCGACCAGCCAGAUGACCAGCUCCUGCAAGUGCAGGAUGUGACUUCCGGUCUCCAGCAGGGCCUACCCACAUGCCUCACAGGCAGGGAGGAGGUACUAGUGGAAGGCAGUGCAGGAAAACCUAUCAGAACCAGCCCGGGGUUCUCUUUCCCCACUCAUGUCACAAGGCUGUGUGAUGUGGGGAUGGCUCUGUGGAGUGGGGGUGCUGCUGCUGUCCUGGUCCCCCAGAGGCCAGAGCUGUUGACUCUUGCUGUAGGUGAAGUGACUUGUGCCUUACACAUUUGCGCGAACUUUUCUGCAUGACAGGGUGUAUAGAGAUCCCCAUUCCUGUGACCCCACUCCCAUUGCACAAAAACAAUAUGGCCCUAUCAUACCUCUGUACUCAGGAAUUCUCAACCCCAAUGGAUGGAGAAAAGGGGGGCUCCCGAGGGAACUUGCAUUAGCCAGGUAACACCACACAGGAAGGAAUCAGGAGUCCUGCUACCCUGGGUUUGAAUGCUCAGGCUUCUCUUUGUCUCUUAGGUGGUGGUGGUGUGGAGGGGGUGGGCUUGUGAAGUUUCUUAAAUUAUUGACUUUGUAAGUCAGGCUAGGGAGUCACCUGGGAAGGGAGAACGAAGAGUAGGGUAAAGGGGAGAGAGGUUUUGCAGUCUAGGUAGGCUUUGCUGAGGGCAGAGGCCAUACCUGGAGCUAUAUAUACAACGUGACCAGCAGAUGAGGCUGCCCUGCUUCUUGGGGACCGGGGAUGCUGACUGCUCUGUGUUGCCAUCUGCUGGACACAUGUGGAGAUAGCAUCUUCCUCCAAUCGUGCUUCCUACCCUUUUGCUGCGUUUGCUCUCCUCCUACCUUCUUUCUGCCCUUGUGCUGAGCAUUUCUCCCCAGGAUCUGCUUUCUUUCUCGCCAAGCAGGACUAUCAACAUAUCUCUGCUCUGGCCUAGGGCAGGGGACUCUGAAUUUCCUCCUGUUUGCUGGCUGUGGUUUUGGGCCAGAGCAGGUUGCUGUCCGUUGUGCUCCCGGGGCUCUCUGGGACCUGAAUUUGGCUGUGAUUAGAGAGACCUUGAAUUUCUCAUCCAAACAGGGACACUUCUGAGAAUGCAGGCGGGGGAAGGGAGGCAGGCUGCUAUUAAUAAUAAUUACAACAGGUGUAAACCAGGAUCUUCCCAGGCAAACUGGAAAUCGUGGUCACCAUAGAGCUGAGGGUCUGCUGGCCUUCUUUGCAUCCCUAGGUGAGGCAUCAGAGGUGAAGACGGCCAGCAGAGGCUGCUGCAGCCCUAGCUAUGUGUGCUGGUCUGCCUGCCUGAGAGAGCUCUGAGAGCUCCCUUUGCCACGCCGCCGCUGGGGAGGAAGAGGGCCAGGAGCACAUAACUCCCGGUAAGGUGAAGUUGGUUGUAGUACAGGGCUGGGGUCCCCUGAGGGAUGAUGGUACCAUGGGGCCCGGUUUAGUGGCUUGAGAACAAGGCCAUGUGCUCCCUCUAGUCUCUGCUGGGGACACAGCAGGAAGCCCUGGGGCCCAGUUUCUCAAAAGCUCCUCAUCAUUUCUGGAUUAGACUGGGCCUUUCCUGAAUCCUUACAAUCCUUUUUCCUGCCCCUUCAGGCAAAGACUGGGCCAGUGGGUUCCUGGCACUCCUGCUCCUGCGGCUGCUGCUUCCCAAGGUGGACCAGCAGUUGGAUGUAUAGGAAGGAGGUUCCUGGGUCAGAUCAGGGACACCUGUGCUGGAGGGAACGCAAAGAGUAUCUGGCACCUUCUCUGCAUGACCUUGCUGACUGAUCUAUCCUGCAGCUGCCUUCUGUUCAUCUGACUUCUGGUUCUUGGGACUUGAGAUAGCAACUUAACCUGCCGAUCUUGGAAUUCACCAAUCUUCACAGCCCGUGAGCAAGUGCCCUGCUGUCUAAUCUGCCGACCUUGGGUUCGCCAGCCCCUGCAGCUGUGUGAAUCAGGAGAAGCCUUGUGGUCUUGCCUGCCCAUCUAGGGAUUCAUCGAUCUUCACAGCUUGUGAACAAGAGCCUUGUUCUCUGAUCUGCUGAUCUUGGGUUCGCCAGCCCCUGAAGCUAUGUGAAUCAGGAGAUGCCUCUAUCCUGAUCCAUGGACUUGGGACAUUCCAACCUCUACAAUCACGAGAGGAAUUCUUUCUGUCUACACUGAGUCCCAAGAAAGGUCUAGGAUGAGGUCUAGCAAGGGGCCUGGAAUGAGGUAUACCCUCAAAGCAUCCUUACAUCCAUCAGUCCAUUCAUCAGUGUAUCCAUCCAUCAGUCUGUCUGCCCAUCAUUCUCUAUGCCCAUCUGUCUGUCCGUCUGUCCGUCCACCCACCCACCCAUCUGUUCGUCCGUCCAUCUGUCCAUCCAUCCAUUCAAUAUGUCCUUGCUCUCCUGUGUGCAGGCUCUGUGGUGGGAAGUACAUCAGUGGGUACAGAGAUGAAUGAGUGCUGGACAGAAUAUGGCAGCAGGUGUACAAGGAGGAGGGCAAAUUCUGACCCUGUGUCAGAAUUUCUUGGGAUUUCCAACAAUUAAUUACUUGAGGAGAAAGGCCUCAGAAGAAGAAUGAACUUCUUUCUAUAAAUGAAAUCAGGAGCUCUGAGCUGUUUCAGUUCUGUGCUAAAAGCGCAUAACCUUGUUUAGUAUCACAGACCCUGGUGAAAGUGUCAUCAUUGUCAUGUCACCCUGAAUAUAUGUGCAGGGCCUACCAGGCCCAUUCCCUGUGGUCUCACUUACCUCUCCCAACAGCCCUACGUAUGGAUCACGUGCUGUUACUAUCUCUAUUUUACAGGUGAGGACACUGGAGCUUAGACGCAUUAACAGAGGAACCAUGCCUCAGUGAGUAGCCCAGACUUGUGAUGCGGAGGCCAAGGUUUGCUCUAUAAACAAGCAUCAACUAAUUAAUAAGGAUUGUUAUGGGACA